GAUGAAGAACGCAGCGAAAUGCGAUAAGUAAUGUGAAUUGCAGAAUUCAGUGAAUCAUCGAAUCUUUGAACGCACAUUGCGCCCGCCAGUAUUCUGGCGGGCAUGCCUGUUCGAGCGUCAUUUCAACCAUCAAGCCCCAGGCUUGUGUUGGAGCCCUGCGGCUGCCGCAGCCUCCCAAAACCAGUGGCGGGCUCGCUAUCACACCGAGUGCAGUAGUUUACUCUUCGCUCAGGGCGUGUGGCGGGUGCUAGCCGUAAAACCCCCAACUUCUCAAGGUUGACCUCGGAUCAGGUAGGAAUACCCGCUGAACUUAAGCAUAUCAAAAGCGGAGGA
rnacentral:misc_RNA from 1 species